rnacentral:lncRNA from 1 species
AGUUACCUAAAAACGUAAUUCUACUUCGUUUUUUUCUUUUCUUUUCUACAACCGAUUCUUGACCACCGGCGAUCGGCAUUUUGUUGCUUUCCCAUGACCGAUCUGGCCAGCUGCUGAAAGCUUGCUAUUUUUUUCUUUACCAUCAGCAGAGAGCUUUGUUACCUCAGUGAGCUGAUUUGGGGACUUGGCGUUUUGGCGAUUUAAUUGGCGGUAGUUCGUUUCCGUGAUAUGUUUCUUUCCUGAUAACGGCGACGUGGUCAUUUGGGUUCUUCUUCACCGUCAACUGCAACUACUGAUUUGGGCAGGUCGUCUGGGUCUGUGAUUGUCGACGUCAUGCAAUUUCAAGCGAAUUCGGUCUCCGAUUGUGGCUUGGCGUCUGCGAUUUUUUGUUUGUGUGCGAUUGGGCCUCCGCGAUUUUUUUUGCGAGCUGCUUCUCGCGAUUUUCUUUCCUGAUUUUGUGAUUUGGUUUCUUUUCUUCUUGCAAGGGUGUCUUCCGUGAAUCUUGUUGUUGUGGAAGAUUUUGCAGAAAUUCCUAAUUCAGGGUGACUUGUGAUGUGAUUUUUUUUUGCAAUCUGAAAUUAAUAUUGGUGAUACUUCAUGAUCUGGAAGUUGAUUCAAGUUGUGAUACUGAUUUGUUCAGAUGAGCAAGCUCCUCUGCAAUCUGGUUCUACUUUGGUUUGCAAUUCAAUACAUAUAAAUAAUUGAUUUGCAAUUCAAAGUUUUUUUUUGUUAUUUCUUUUAUAUUGUGCGAGUAUUUUUCUUGACAAUUUGGUGAUGGCAAGAAAUAACUCUAAUGAUAGGUCAACCCCUCUUCUUCAUGAAGACUUAUACAAGUGUCAGGUCUCGCAUUGGAUUAGGACUCCUCUAGAUGGAGC